rnacentral:rRNA from 1 species
GUGGGGGAUAUUGGACAAUGGGCGAAAGCCUGAUCCAGCCAUGCCGCGUGUGUGAAGAAGGUCUUCGGAUUGUAAAGCACUUUAAGUUGGGAGGAAGGGCAGUAAGUUAAUACCUUGCUGUUUUGACGUUACCGACAGAAUAAGCACCGGCUAACUUCGUGCCAGCAGCCGCGGUAAUACGAAGGGUGCAAGCGUUAAUCGGAAUUACUGGGCGUAAAGCGCGCGUAGGUGGUUUUGUAAGUUGGAGGUGAAAUCCCCGGGCUCAACCUGGGAACUGCCUCCAAAACUGCAUGACUAGAGUACGGUAGAGGGUAGUGGAAUUUCCUGUGUAGCGGUGAAAUGCGUAGAUAUAGGAAGGAACACCAGUGGCGAAGGCGACUACCUGGACUGAUACUGACACUGAGGUGCGAAAGCGUGGGGAGCAAACAGGAUUAGAUACCCGUGUAGUCC